ACAGUCGACACAAACUGUUGGUAGAUUAUCUAAGAAAUUGCAAUAAAGUUAUAAUGAAACUCGCUUUAAUCACUAUUAUUCUAAGCUUGCUUGGCCUUUGCCAUGGCGACUACUAUGAGAUGGGUUUUUGUGAUCGAGUUCCCGUGUACAUAUGUAGAAAAAAAACAAAAUCUUGCGUACAUAUGCGACUUUGUAAAGUUUCUGCACAUAAUUACUUUUCAUUUUAUAAAGAAUGCAUGACGGCGUGUGCUGAAGUGAAUUCAAAAAUGACUUUGGGUUCAUGAUUUUAAUUGUAAUCCUUUCGCGAUUGUUAAAUAAAAUCUUUGGUUUUUUAA